rnacentral:rRNA from 1 species
AACGAACGCUGGCGGCAGGCCUAACACAUGCAAGUCGAGCGCCCUUUCGGGGGAGCGGCGGACGGGUGAGUAACGCGUGGGAAUAUGCCCUUCUCUACGGAAUAGCCUCGGGAAACUGAGAGUAAUACCGUAUACGCCCUGUGGGGGAAAGAUUUAUCGGGGAAGGAUUAGCCCGCGUUGGAUUAGGUAGUUGGUGGGGUAAUGGCCUACCAAGCCGACGAUCCAUAGCUGGUUUGAGAGGAUGAUCAGCCACACUGGGACUGAGACACGGCCCAGACUCCUGCGGGAGGCAGCAGUGGGGAAUCUUAGACAAUGGGGGCAAGCCUGAUCGAGCCAUGCGGCGUGAGGGAUGAAGGCCUUAGGGUUGUAAAGCUCUUUCAGCUGGGAAGAUAAUGACGGUGCCGGCAGAAGAAGCCCCGGCUAACUCCGUG